rnacentral:lncRNA from 1 species
AGGAUCAAAUGAGACGACGUGAGUCGGGAGUAGGGAAGGGCUACGUGCUUAGACACCUCCCAUGCUCGGCUCAGUUGGCCGGCAACAGCUUAAAUGACAGCACUUCUCAGAUAAGCCCCAGAGAUCACCACCUUAAAAUCCUCACGGGGGAUUGAAGUCUGACAUCCCAGUGUCCAGACAACUCGCACUACCAUUUCAUCUGCACAAACAGCUCAUCGUCAGCAUUUCUAGCUUUAGAAAACAAUUAGUAGACAAUUGCCAAGAAUUAAGAUUUACAGAACUAUUAACAAAGACGCUUUCCUGUUCUCAGCGUUCU